rnacentral:rRNA from 1 species
AUGCGUGGUGGUCGUGCUCGUCGCCAACCAGACCGUUUUACGAAGGAACAUUAUUUCCGGGUGGAAGUAUUUCGUGCAACACUUGAUAUUCAGCUGCAUGAAUUAGAAUUCAGGUUCAAUGACAAGGUACUGGAUCUUUUGACCACAAGUGCUACUCUGAUCCCCAAAAAUAAAUUCAGAUCUUUCAAAGCUGAUGAUAUUUGCGAGUUGGUGAAGAAAUAUUAUCCAGCAGAUUUCACUCAACAGGAAAUCUAUGGAUUGGAGCAACAGCUAAAACACUUUGUUGUGGACGCCUCCAAUGAUAAGGAGUUGAAAAAUGUGUCAACCUUAACAAAUCUUUGUCGAUAUCUCUUUGAGUCAGGGAGGCAUUCUAUCUACAAUUUGGUUGAUCGAUUGUUGCGAUUGCUUCUAACUCUUCCAGUUUCUACAGCAAGUGCCGAGCGAGCAUUCUCUACUUUGAAGAUCAUCAAGACAAGGCUACGUAAUACUAUGGAAGAUGAUUAUCUAGCCAAUAGCUUGCUAGUAAACAUAGAGAGUGAAAUUGUGGAGAAGUACAGCUAUGAAGAUGUUCUUGUGCACUUUAAGGGUGUAAAGAAACGAAGGGCUGAUCUGUAG